GGGAGAGUGGCUGAGUGGUUAAAAGCGGCAGAUUGUAAAUCUGUUGAAUGUUUUCUACGUAGGUUCGAAUCCUGCCUUUCCCA
rnacentral:tRNA from 1 species